UCAGCAUUAAAGAAGCAUUAAAGAGGCAUUAAAAACCUAAUUUUUAUUAAGGGCAUAAUAGGAAUUAUAUAUAACUUUCCUAGGAAAGUGGAUGGCCAACCAAACAUAAGCAUCUUGGAAAUUUGUCACUUUUCCAUGGUCAACCAAACAUGCCAAAAGUACUUUCCUAGGCAUCCUCUUCCUAGGAAUUUGUUUCCCAGGAAUCAUAUUCCUAGGAAGGAAAAUGCUUCCCGCGAACCAAACGAGCCCUA
rnacentral:lncRNA from 1 species